ACUUAAAUUUAUUUUUAAUAUAUGAUUUUAUUUGUUUAUAUUAUAUAUAAUUAUUAGUUUGUUACGAUUAUAACUCAUCAGUCUUACAUUAAUAUUGUUUAUUGUCACAAGAUUUGUGAUAAUACGAUUUAAGAAACUUGAUAUAUUUUAUGGAAACAUCAAUUUAAUCUUCAUAAUAAUUGCAAAUACAAUACACAAAGAAUGUAAAAUAUUCUGUAAUAUACCUUUUUCUUUAUAAAAACAUAACAAUUCGGUAUAAAAUUUAAUGAAUACGUUAUUAUCAGUUACAAAUUGAUCAACAAUUAAUAUUCUAUCUAAUUAAUAUGAUCAAUAUUCUACUUGUUAGUAUUGUUAGUAUAACAAAAUAUAAUUUAUUCAAUUUUUGUCUAUUACUUAUUUCUCAUUUAUUUCGAAUUUUUGUAAUUAAAUGUUACUUGUAUUAAGUAAAAAUAUAAAAUAUUAAUAAAGUACGAUUUAAGUGACCGGUAUGCAUUCAGCAACUUUCCCUUGCUUAUUUGUAAUUUUUUUUGCAACUUGUUUACAACUCCUCUCUUCUGCUAAUAUAAUCAAAGUUUAUCAUAAAAUUUUACUAUAACAACACUUCACAAUUUAUCUGAAUAAUAUUUAUACGUCCGCGUUUAAUUACAAGUAUAAUGCCAUAAUUAAAAUGUGCAAUUAUAAACUUAUCAAUACUCGAUUAUCAUAUUUUUAUGCUGCCUAAAUAUGCAAAUUAAAAGGACCAAAUUAAUUACUCGAACAAUCACAUUUGCGUGUAAUCGAAAAUAUAUUGGAAGAUCACGGACGUAGUCCCUCCUUUUCUUAUCGAAUAUCGCCUGAAAAUGUAAAUAAGAUUUCGAUCGAUCGGCUACUAAAUUGGCUUUCGAUUCGCUAAUGCUUCACGGACACGACCAAGCGCUCAUGACCCGACGGGAUUCCGUUUUUCUCAACGUUAAUAAAUACACCGCAGUGCUUGAAAAAUACGAUCAAAGCGACAAUUAAUAGGGAAAAAUAUAGAAUCUCAAUCGUGGAGGGAAGAGGGGGAUAAAAACAGUUAACAGAAAGGAAGACUAGAAAAAUAAAUAAAUCGCGGAAAUAAACGAGAGCAACCCGACUAAAAUGCACUGAGGAAAACUAAACAAAAUUAACCGCUUAAAAUAAACGAGAUGCACGUGUGUCGCGCUUACGGUCCGCCCAUUCAUUCGUUCAAUUUUUAUCUUUUACCGUUUUAUCUGCUUGAUUAGAAGAGCGUGAUGCCGGUUCACGUUGCACUCGUUACGGUGCGACAUUACGGAGAGGGGAAGAGAGAGAGAGAGAGAGAGAGAGAGAGGAGAGAAACACAGAAGAAAAAAAAAAGAGUUAACGCACGCGGCCGCGCUAUUUCUAUUACACGUCAGCGGUCGAUAAAACGAACGUAACGCUCAUCCAGCAUGUAUCACGCCACAUCGUCGAUGUAUAAGCCUGUUACAUAGGCAGACGCGUACGUGUACGCACAACAAGUGUUCGCCGUGGCGCGCCGCGUAGUCGUGACUUGGAAGUACAACAAGAAAGCCGUCCAAUUUAAUUAGCGGCGAUAGCCGGCUCGCGAGAUAUACGCUGCCGAGUGUGCCGCCUGUCAUUAGACGUUAAACUUCAUUCGCCGAAUGCUCUCACGUGUCCCCUAAUUCCCGUCCAUUAAUAUUCCCCGCUUCUUUCCGCGCGGACGGCAAUAAAAUUUUCUUCGAGACCUUAAUCGAGGCGCGCGCCGUCUCGUCACGUUCCCGCAAUCUACUCGGAUUAAUUAAUCUGUAUACGCGACGGCACGUUGCGGCACGCAAGAGAUUUACGAUGCGGCGCGCAUAAUCGCACGUUACGAAAUUGCAUUACGGGAUACAAAUCGCACGCACGCGCGCGCACGCGCACGCACGAUAUAAAUCGCGGAUAAUCGCGUAGAUGAAGUCAAUGCUGGACGGUUCCGCCGAUCGUUACACGUCACGUUCAUUUACGCGGAGCAUCGAUCCCGCAUGUGAUUGCGCAUUAAGAUUGCGUAUAAACGAUCUUUUACAUAUGUGCCUUCUAUAUUUCUCCCUCUUUUCUCUCUUUCUCUGUCUCUUCCUCUCGAUUUCCGAACGAGGUCGAAGGGAAAAACGUUGCACGACGAACAAAUCGAAAAAGUCUUGUGGCUGAUACUGAAAAUUGACAGCGGCACCUCCCUCCCGGAUGAUAAAUGGCGGAUAAAACGAUUCGCGAGUUCGGAAAGACCGAAAGCAGGACCGUUUUGCCGUCACUGUGUGAAUUAUGAUCCCCGAGGAAAUGUGUCUCGUCGUUGUUUGCAGAAAAUUUUACACGGUCCCAUUAACAUAACGUAAUAAUAAACGUUUCGCGAGACACGCACGCGACUUGAUAUCGUAACAGAAACGACCGAUGCUGAUCCCAAGCAGAACAAAAAGUCAUCAGGACGUUAAAAUGACUCCAAAGUGAUAAUUAAAAGUUAUUUUUCGAGCACCUCGAUCCAAUCGAUUCGUUUCGACGUCAUUUCAACGUCAUCGUGACCUGUUGUGCUCCGAUUGGGAUUAGAGCAGUAAGAAAAAAUUAUAAUAAUAGCAAAAAGAAAAAAAAACUGUGCAACAAGAUAAUAUCCUUGGCGGUAAUGCCGGAAAGUACGAACGCGGUGACAAUCGAGGGCAACGCUCCAAAACAAAGAAACGGAGGCACGCCGGCGGAAUUCGUGGAAAAUUAAUAAAUUAACACAUUUCGCACAUGCAACAAGUCGCCCCAGUACGUCGCGUUGUGCUACAUUCGUUACGAGCGUUUAGCAUUUGUGAAGGUGUGAAUCGUUGGUACAAACGAACGAUUCUUGAUUAAUUAACACAAAACGUGAGCUAUUGCGCAUUCCUUCUAUUUUCGUAUGGGUAUAAUCGAUCUCUCUUUCAGUGUCGCUCGUCGUACUCUCUACUACUGGAGAUUCAAAUAACUCUAUAGAUUAUAUUUUCGUUUAAACUGUUUUUCUUUCCUGCCGCGGCACGCGCAUUGUUUCUAUUUAAAAAUUUAAUUUUUAAUUUAUCUUCUCCCCAAAUAGAAAUAUCCCCCAGUCUUAGAGUAUCAAUUGUUUAUCAGUCCCAUAUCAUGAAAACUUUACGACUGUUCCAUCUAACUUAGAUGCUCUCGUUAUUACUUAUGACUACAAAGUUCAUAUACAACGUUCAUUUUUUAUCAUUAUCGUAUUUUGUCAAGAUAAUCAGCUUAAAAAUUUUUAUACUAGUAUCAUUUGAGACGCGUACAAAGCUAAUUGUUUUUAUUUAUUAAUACCGCGUUACAUCUCUCUCUCUCUCUCUCUCUCUCUUGCGACGUAUAUUUCAUUCGCGACAGCAUAAAAUAAGAUUAGCGUAAUCCGCGUUAUAUUUUGCCAGAUUAUUUUAUCCAUUUUUAUCGUGACAUUAAUUGCAAAUGUUCCUUUUUAUCCUGUCUCCUAAAAUUAUCUCCACUGUCUCGCACUUUUAAACAUUUUACGUUUAUCCAAUGAUUAGUUGAUACCUUAAAUAAUGUUCCUUUGAAAAUAUAAAAAAAAAUUAAGGAACUUUUUUGCAUUCCCUAAAAAACUGUCGCCCCAGCAUUUUAGAUCGUCUUCCUGCCACGAACGAACGAUCUAGCUCGUAAAGAAGUUCCCGGGCUCAUCUGGCGAUACUCGAGACAACUUCCAAAACUGCUCUUCAGGAUCUACAGUGGAUCGUCCAUCGAGGAUCCUGGAAAGACGGCCUAGUUACACCCGGAUAGGCUCGGAAUGGGAAUGGAUCGAUGAAGCCGUUGCCUUUUCUGCUAUCGACGUCACGUGAUCUUCCAAGAAUUCGGUUUGACAAUCUACUUGGACCGCAUUUCAAUUUAGGCAAUUGAUCUUUCAAAAAUACUCAAGAAUGGACGAAACUUACAAGACUUUUGUCGCGUGAUUUUCUCGGUAAUAGUUAAGGAAUAAAAUCAAGGAUCACCUGAGUGUCAUACGGGUAUCAUCAGGAGAGAAACCGGGAUUAUUAUCGCCCUGGAACUAUUUUGAGUUCGCGAUCAACUCGAACGAACGGAUGAACGAGCAAACGCACCCUCUCUUCUUUUCUCACCGUCGCCGACGUCGACGCUUUACACUCUACACGACGAUCUAUGCCCGGCCACAACCAACUAGAUCACUUGCAAUCGAUCUGGAAUGUCGCCUUCGGGCGGGACACUGAGAGACCGUUCCGGGUGACCCGGCGAGAAAGACGGAAAUAGAAAGAGAGAAAGAGAGAGAGAGAGAGAGAUAGGGGGGACGGAGGGUGACAGAGAGUGUACACAACUGAGAGAAACGGAGGAGGUGCCACUCUCUCUCUCUCACAAGGAUCGAGUCGCGCGGCGUCGUCAACGACAAUGAGGAUCAGGAUAAACUGUCGGAGCGACGACGACGGGAGACGACGCGACGGCCAGGAUCGACACACGCACAAGUAGUUUUUCGCGUUCCGCGUCGAGUGUCGGGGGUUGGCCUCUGCCCCACUCACCUGGUAGCCGCGUAGGGUGCGCACCUACUACUACCCGACCGAAGAGGUAGGCUACCACCCGCUUGCGACCGACUCAACCGCUCACCACCUAACCACCACCCACUCCGCCACCCCACUGCUCGGCUCGCUAACGGCGAGUUAGGAGUUCUCUCUCUCUCCCUCUCUCUCUCUCUCUCUCUCUCUCUCUCUCUCUCUCUCUCUCUCUGUCCGUGGAUGUACGGAUGUUAUGUACACAUGCCUGUAUGUAUGUCUCUGUGGGCAUAUUGACUACCUACGCGUACGUGCCAGAUGUGGCCUGCGGGUUGUUAACGCGUUCCGCUGCCAUUUGGCAAGGCGAACCGUCGUGUCGCCGAAUCUGAUCUGGAUGGCUCACCUGUUAACCACCGGAGGCCACGUUUCCAGCGAUACCGAAGGAAAAAUGGUUUCAACGAGGUGGUAGCAGUUCAUCAGCCGGCGGAGAAAAGAAGCACGUAGAUAGUAAUUAUCUCUUCGUUCACGUCUGUUACAUGGGGAUAUGUAUAUGAGAUAUAUGGGAUCGUCUCUCCCAUUGUGAGAUAUUCAUUUAUCAGCGGGGUUUUUUUCUGCACGGAGACUUUCUGCAACACACUUUUUUUCGAAAACUAAAAUUAAAAGUUUGUUCUCCACAAAAAGCCAAAUUUCGAUUUACGAUUUUAUUCAUCAUUUUACAAAUUUUAAAAAGUUCGUAUUAAAAUAAUGAGAUAUACGUAUUCUCUCGGUAAAGUUCUUAAUAAAGAAACUAUUGAUAGAAAGUAUGCUUUUGACAUUUUCUUUUCAUUUUACACACAGAAAGAACGAUUUCCUAAAAAUUAGUUAGAUACAGAUCUGAAAAUAACUUCAGAGUUUCCUGCAAAGACAAAUCUAGCAAAAAAAAUCUAGGUUAAUGCUCAAUCAAUCUCUAUCACAUCGGGAACAAUUUGUUCCGGCAAAUAUCAAACAGGAAAUAUAAAUAUAGACAAUAAAUAUAACAUUUCCGCAAGAAUCAACCAAGCCCAGAGGCUUCCAUUUUUUUAAUGGAUUAUCAAAAUAUUAGUCAAGCUUUGUUUUGUUAAAUAUCCGAAGAAAAAUCACAUUUGUAUAAAGAAAAAUUUGUAGAAUUUGUAAAUAAAAAGUGAACAAAUUAUUAUGCUUUAUACUUUAAAUAAUAUUUCCUUUUUCACCUUUACCAUUAAUCUUGUAAAAAAGACAAAAUGUAAAAUAUAAAAUCAGAAAUUUAUACAAUAAAUUAGAAAAAUGCAAAAUUCCAGUUAGAACCAAACAAAUCCACAGUUUCUUAUUGUUUCCUUUAAGUAAAUCCUCGAAAUAUUAAUCAAGGCCUACAACUUUGUUUUUUUUACACCUAUUACAUGUCUGAAAAAAAAAACUAAAUUUACACAGCAAACAGUUUAAAAAAUAAGAAGCCUCUAUUUCCUAAAAAUUUAACGCUUGUUUCAUUUUUGCAGGAAAUUGUUGGAUCAUCAAGAUAAUUAUAUAGGACACUCAAAUUGCUAGAAUGUCAAAAUGCUUUUCGCAGCAUUGUACGUCACGAUUGAGCGUUCUAUUACGAUUAUUUUCAUGAUCUAACAAAAUUAUUUCGAAAUCAACUGUAUCUCUCUGUUUCUGCAGCUAAAUUUUUAGGUACUUCAGUACGCGAACCACGCUCGGCAAAGGAGGGGACAUUUCGAGACAAAACCGCGAUGAAAUUAAUAGAGCAUCGGCACGAUUCGCCCCGAAAAGGAUGUCCGCACGUGGAAUUCAAUAUCUCGACGCGAGCGCGCGGCAUUCCCGCCGAAGGGGAAUAUAUGUCGGUCCCGGCAUGUGACAUAUGUAGGUACUCAUGCGUAUAGCGCACAGGCCACGAGUCCCUAGAACUUUUAAUUUAACGGGGGUAAGAGGGGAAAGGGGACUUUUCGCGAUACCGCGUAUCCGUACCCCGUUGCUGAUUGCAGCCCCUCGGUUUCCUUUCACUUAACGACGUGCUGUAUCCUGGGCGAAGAUUGCGACCUGCACUCGCCGCCAUUAAUGGACCGCCCCGCCGCGCCGCGCCGCGCCGUACCGGACUCGCGCUCCCGUCUGAUCGCAAUCACACCUAUUCCACUUCGUAAUCGAACUUCGUGCGCCAGACGGCCCGUUUGACAAGCACGAACAACAACCGAAGUGUUUUCUCUUUUGAAACAGAUAUUGCCAAGAGUAAUAUUCACAGUUUCCAAUUUAGAAUCGAUACGGUCUUACUUCUGCGCCUGUUUAUCGUUUCGCGACAGGCACAGUUAAAUUGAUAUUCAGCAUUUCAAUUUCAAUCUUUUUUAUGAGAAAAAAGAACACGAUUGGGAAAAUUGCUUUUAAAGAGUAACUCAUUAGCGACUCGUUACUAGUUACGUUUGGGAAAAAAAUAGGUCAUUAGCGUUACUCAGAAAGUUAACAGAGUAAUUACAAUUUUCUUUACUUUUUCAUUAAAUUUUAAAUUAUUUUUUUAUGCGACAUCCAAUUGUCUAUGUCGCGGAUUGAUAUGCUUAACACGAAAAUGACCACAGAAAAUGACUAUAGUCCCGUUUUGGUAUUUUCGUUGAAUUGUGUCAUAUUUGUUACCAUUACAAAGAAAAAUGUGACUGCGUUGCCAUUUCCAUUGUCAUUAAAUUUAAAAAAUAUGACGUUGUCAAUUUGUUGCUGCGACAAAGUAACGGGAAAAGAGUAAUUGCAAUAAUAAUGACGUCCUAAAUAACGCGUUACUUUCCAACUCUGAAAAGGAUCAAUUUAAUCCUGUACACGUGCAAGAAAUGUCAAUUUCUACAAUUGAUGCGACAACUGUACAAACGUCAGAAAUAUUUAUCAGCGCAGGAAACAACAGCGACAUUUCGAUCCAAUUUGAUUAUAAAUUGAUAAAGCGCAGGAGAGUAACGACUGUUAUAAAUUAAUAUCGGCAGUCCGAUAAUUUGUACCGCGCGAUCCUCGUCAAGCUUCCAAUAAUUUCGUACGCUCGUUCAAUUUGUAUCUAUUCUUCGUUACCGCAUUGAUAGAGUGGAUAAUUAUACGCGGCCGAUACCUCAAAAUUAAUGACGAGAUGGGAUUAAUAUAAAACCAUUCUCGCGAUUUCCAACCCGUCCGUUUACAUCAGUCCCUCAUUUUCGUCCGCCCGGAACUUCCACCCGCGAAAUAAUCUUUUAUGCAACGAAAUGCAAAUUUGCAUAUCACGUUCACAUAUAUCAAGUAACGAUAGGAAAGGUCGUUCAAAUUAUGUUCGGAUUUAACGAACAUCUGGUUAAUUAAUAUUGGGAGAUAUCGAUAAUUAACAUUAGGAAAUUAAUUUUGGCGAUUAAUAUUAUUUGCAGAGGACGCUGGGCAAAUUUUGCCGAGUGCGCCGAUCUUUGCUAAUGCGAAGCUAAUUUAAUCUCGCGAAACGUUUCGUCACGUCGGCAAACGGCACGGCUUAAAAGGGAAUAUAAUUUUUCGACUUCCAAAGAACUCCGGGGGAACCAGCUGGAGCUACGUGGCGUCACGCGAUCAAGACCAAGGCUUUCGGAAGGCUCUCGACCGCCGUCCGAGGCUCGAAUCUCGGCGCUCUCGACCGGGAAAGAAAGGUGUAGGCGGAUCGCAUGCCAGCCGCCAGUUAACAAUCGAGGCCUCUUCGCAUUCUACGAAUAAGACCCGUGACACACAGUAGACGCGCAGUAAGGUCACAGACAAUGAACCUCGUUUUCAGUUCAGGGUCUGACUUGGUCGAAGACGACGACGGUCGUCGCGAUGGGCCAUUGGCGUCACGUCCUUCGUGACCCCUCGUGAUCGGAAGGGAAAGCGGUCGAUCGCGGCAAGAUCGGAUCGUGUGAUUAUAUGCCGUCAUUUGCAUCCCGCGUUCUAUAGGUAGACCGUCCCACGUGUCGGUUUUACUCUGUACAAUUCAGUCUCGAGUUUGUGGCGUCCGACGGACAGUAGACACAUACAGGGCGAUCCGCAAGAAACAAAUUGCUUAUUCAAAGAAUUUCUACACUUUGUGAGAAGAAAAUAUUGUUGAGAGGACAAAAUUUUUCAACUAAAUUAAAAUGUCAGUUCAAGAAUUUAUGCAAUUAAUUUAAAUGCACAAAUUUCAAUUCAAGUGUUUAUAUAGUUAAUUGAAAUAUAUAAAUAUUGGAAUAGACAAAAUUUAAUUUAGUUGGAAAAUUUAGUUAAAUUAACAUUUUUUUCUCAGUAUAUUAGAACUAGAAAACUCUUUUUUACUACCCAAACCUGCGUAUAAUACAAAAUUACAGUUAAAUAAGCAACGGUUUUCAUGGUAAGUAAAAAAAUCCAAGAUUAAAAAUAAAAGAUCGCUAUUUCUUCAUUCAAAAGCAAGAAACAAUGUAAUCAGAAAGAUAAAAUUUAAAAAAUGUUAAUAUUAAAAACGUUGUGGAUACACCGUUUAAAGUGAGAUAUACACAUGGAACAUAGAAGUUAAGUAGAAAAUAAUAAAGUGCUCAUGUGUCUGAUUUGACGAAACUACCUCCUUAUGGUACAAACAAAAAAUAAAAAAAAACUUCAUCAUUUAUAUCACCUUAUACUAUUUCACUUAUGCUUUAGACUUUUGAUGCGGCUUGUUUUUCUUUUUUAUCAAUUUAUUCCACCCUCUCUGAAAUUUAAUAUUAGAAAAUUCUUAUAUAAAGAGAAUUUUUUCUUAGAAUUUACUCUUGAAAGCAUAGUAGUCGUGGGCCAAUAUGGUAUUUCGAAGAAUUUUAUUCCAAUUUUAGUAGGAUUUAUAGGAAAAUUUUAAUAAAAAUUUAACCAUAUUAUUUUAUUGUGGUAGAUAUUAAUAAAUAAAAGCAGGUUACAUAAAAUUUUUCGAAAUACCAUGUAAACCCACGGCGAGAUUUUAAGGGCAAAUUCUAAGAGAAAAUUCUCUCUGUGUUUCAUAAGAAACUUGGAUCUAAAUUUGGUCGCAGAGAAAAUUUUACAGGAUUCAGUUAAGUUCUUUCGACGAAGACGAAAAGAGUUUGGGAUCCAAAAACUGCGGCGUUUCUUUUUCAAGCUUGCAAGUUAUACACGAGCGUGUAACACCGCUGCGUCUACACAGGUUAGGUAAACGUUAUCGUGAUAAGAACUUAUUUCUCUCACCGUUGGAAAGUAACAAAUAAUGAAUAACAGCAAAGGGAAAUCUUUUUUUAUCGCAGACUGCAGAUAAAUCUGAUAAUAAAUUGCACGGGUUCGCGUGACAUGUCUCACGGAAUUAAAUGCCGCCAUUGGCAUUUGAAUAUUGCAUCGCAGGUCUGCAAGGAAUCAAGAUCAGUUCACGCCUGCGGAUUUCGCUUGAUAACGUGACGGAACCUCGUCGCCUUGUCAAGCCUCACGAAGGUCUAGGAUAGAAAUUGCGUGUCGUGAUCCAGUUAACUGGCCGAGGCCUACAUUCGCGGGCGCGAAAAAUUGCACCCCGCGUACUUGAAUAAGGUCGCAGACAAUGAACUUCGUGUUCGUUACCUUCGAAAUGCAAGAGCGAGGCGAGGAAAGUAUACGCGAAGCGCCUACCCGCUGUUCGUGAUCGAAAGAGAAACAAUAAUUGGAAAUGUCCUUCUCCCGCGCCUCUCUCGUGCGCGAAACUUCGAACGAGGAAACACGCAAAAGGUGGAAAAAUGCCGAACAUUGCAAAUGUGCCACACCUUGACAUUUUCACUUUAUUACUUUUACUUUUUCGUUACCCUAUCCAUCCUAACAUCGCUAAUGGGUUAUCGCCCUAAGUGCUGUUACAAGGGAUACGAGUCAUCGAUAAAGGAGAGAUGAUCCGUCUCAAUUUGUUAUUUUCGUGUCGAACGUUCUAUGUUCCAGUUUCUGCUUGGCAAUAACAAAAAAAAAAAA